AUAACACACACCACAGAGAGAUUCCUCUCUCUUUCUCUCUCUCUCUCACUCUCUCUCUCUCCUCUCUCAUUCCCUCUUCACACUUAGGAAAGGCGAUAUGAGCACAUAGCUAGAAGUUGGCCAGGAAGAGAGAUCUCACCAGAAGCUAACCAUGCUGGCAUCCUGAUCUCAGAUUUUCAGCCUUCAGAACUGUGCAUGUGGAUGUAACCAGACUCCAAAGGAUUGUAUAACAACAUAGCCUACCUCAUUGACUCAGUACCUGCAAGGAAGCUACCCACCAACCUUCAUAUCCACACCAUACUCCCUCUCACAGUGACUAAUGCAUGACUUUGCACAUGAAGUUACUUGCACUUAGGUGCGAAUUAUUUUAAGGAUUGGCUCAUGCCGUUAUGGUGGCUGGGAAGUUCUAAAUCUGCUAUACAGAUCAGCUAGGUAAGUUGAUGCUCUGGUCUUGAAGCCAAAGGCAGUGUGGAAGCAGAAUUCCUUACUCUCCUGGAGACUCCACUCUUUUCUUUUAAAGCCUUCAACUGAAGGGGCCUGCCUGGGUGGCUCAGUUGGUUAAUUGUCUGACUUCAGUUCAGGUCAUGAUCUCACAGCUUGUGAGUUCAAGCUAUGUGUCAGGCUGUGUGCUUGACAGCUCAGAGACUUGGAGCCUGCUUAAGAUUCUGUGUCUCCCUCUCUCUCUGCCCCAACCCUUCCAAAUAAAUAUUAAAAAAAAAUAAUAAUAAAGCCUUCAACUGAUUGGAUGAGGCACACCCACAUUAUUGAAGGUAAGAAGUCUACUUAUUUGAAUGUUAACCACAUUUUAAAAAACACUUUUGCCAUAACAUCUACACUGG